rnacentral:lncRNA from 1 species
UGUGUCUUUUCACCAGAAGCACAACUGAGCUUUAAAAUACAUUAAAAACACAAUUUGCUUUCGGGUUAAAAUUUUCGGGUUUUGGUAUAUUUUUUAUUUUUAUUUUUUGGUUGUUUUUAAAAAAAUCAACGAAACCUAUUAACAUGAGAUCUAGUUUCAAAGAUGUCGACGCGUGGAAUUAAAUGGUGAAAAUAGUUUGUGAUCUGGAUGUACGGUUCAAAAGAUAAAACCUUUCAAAAAAGUGAAUAUAAGAAAUAAAAAAAAAGUUAAACUCUAGUUUAGUGAUUUCGACAAAUUAGACCGCAAAAACAAAAAAAAACUAAACAUGGCCAAGCCAUAGCGCAACAGCUAUAAGCCGGCACCUGCGGCUGCUGCCCGAAUGCAUCUACCUGAUGUCGUAUUUGACGGAAAACUAGGAGGGUGGCCGCAUAGGGAGGCGCCGAGGCGUCCUGGUGGGCCAGUCCAUCACACGAUCAAGAUAGCGAGACGACGUACGUUCACCCGAACGAACUGGGACCAAGCAUUAUAGCGAAGCGGAAGCAGGUUCUGUACCAGACGAGAGCUCCUAUGUGCCGCAUUUAGCGGCGAAUAGCGAACGCGACGUGCGACUAGGCCGCCCAAUGAGAGUCACCACGAGUUGUGUUUAUACCGUAAAACUCGAAAGUCGAAAGUGGCACCGCGAGGAAUCAAGCCCGCGACGUCGCUCUCAUCCACGACCCCUGUUGGCCAAUAGAGCAAAUGCCCACUUGUUAACAAAAUGGCAUUGCGAAUGUAUUUAAGACCUUAAUGUUGCGGAUAUUCCCUGUAGCAUGUUAUUUUCCGCACGUGUAUAUAUUUUCGAAACUUUGAACACAUUUCGGAAUGCACAAAAGAAAUUUUCAAGAAAUGUGAACAACAUUUUAAAUUCAAAAUAGCUUUUAAAAAUUCGAACAAUUUUUUGAAUUUCAAACAGAUAUAGAAUUCUUUGAAUUUUUUCGAAAAACACGAACAAAAUUUGUGAAGCCGACUUUUUUAUUUUCGUACAAUUUUUAAAAUAUUCGAAAAAAUCAAAUAUUGAUUUUUUUAUAAAAUUUGAAUAAAUUUUUAAAUCCAAAUAUUUUUCAAAAGAAUGUACAAAAAUUGAAGUUCCAAACAUAUUAAUGUGUUUUUCGAACAAAAUCUGAGGAUUUGAUUUUUUUUGUGAUAAAUGAACAACUUUUUCCAAUGCGAAUCAAAUUUUUGAACAAAUUUUUAAAAACUCAAACAUUUUGUGAAAAUGUGAACAAUUAUUGGGAAUGUCAAAGAUUUACGUGAAUAAAAUAGGAAAAAGUUAAAAAAAAUAAGAACAUUUAUCUAAAACACAAAAAAAAUGGAAAACGAGAAUUUUUUCCAAUGGAGAUUUUUUCCAAAUUUUCGAAAAAUAAUAUAUUGUGCGAACAUUUUCGGAAAUAUGAAAUUAUAAACUUACUUCAAUUAUCGGAAAAGAAGCAAAAAUUUAUGAAAUUCAAUUGUUUUUAGAAUAUCUUAAAUAUUAUUAAAACUGGAACAUUUUCCGAAAAAGGUAGCAAAUUCUGAAGAAUGUGAACCCUUAUUAAAAUUCGCGAACAUUUUUUGAAUUUAUGAACCAAAUUAAAAAGAAGCGAACACAAAUAGAAAUUCUUUUUUUGGUAAUUUCGGAACAUAGUAUGAAAACAGGAGCGUUUUUAGAAAAAGGUACCAAAAUUUCAAAAAUGCAAACAUUUUGUAAGUUUCAGAACAUCUGUUGUAAAAGUAAUAUAAACUUGACAAAUAAAAUGAGAAAUUGUGGAAAAUAAAACAGGAAAGAGGAAGGAAGAUAUAAUAAAAAAGGAAAGAAGUAGAAUAAACAAGGAAAAAAUAAAAACGAAAAUUUAAGAGAAAUAUAAAAAAAGAAACAUAACCGGUCCAGGAACCUUCCUGGAGGUUCCCAAAAACCAGACAAAAACUAUAUAGGAACAUCGAGAAGGUUCCAAAACCAGAAAAAACUGUCUCGCUCGCCUCUGCGAAGCUCGGCCAAUUUGAUGUAGAAUGCCUCAAAUAGGAAUGCCUCAAAUGGGUUACUAUAGCAACAGGAUUCUUUUUAAAAAGUGAUCAAAUUUUUCAAAGGGCAAAUGUUUUUAAAAUUUCCUGGUUGUUUUUGGAACGGAACAAGUUUUCACAUUUGUGUUUUUUUUUUAAAUUUUGGACAUUUUUUGCAUUAGAAUACAAAAUUCAAUUUGUGAUAUAUUUCGAAAAUGCGCUCAUUUUAUCCCAUUUGCAGGAUUUUUUUAAAGAGUUCAAAGUUUUUUGAAAUAUGAAUUCUUUUUUAAAAUUGCCUACAUUUUUUAAAACAUGAAGAUCUUUCAAAUUUGCCACCCUAUGAAGGCACUGUUUGCCAGCUGCCUAUUUCGUCGCCACUUUUGGGAAACUUCUAACAUAGUGGGGAGUGGAGUGGUUUUAUGAAACUUUGGUCCGGUUUGGGGAAGGUUCCAUCUGAUUCACCUUGUUUUGUUCCCCUUUUUGUGUCUAAUCUUUACAACUUUUAUCGAUUUUCUGUCGGUUUUUUAUUAUACAUAUUGUCAUUUUUUGAGUUUUCUCUUUUUUCUUCAAAUUUGUUUAUUCCUUUUUAUUUUCACUUUUCAGUACAAUUGAGGCUUUCCCCUUUUCAAAUUUGUUUAUUUCCCCUUUUCAGUACUAAGCGCCGGCCGAAAGUUUCGGCCGCUUGGCCCCCAGCCGCCCGAUUGGAUCCCCGCAUCGUCUUCUCCCCCCCCUCGUCUACCAAGCUUCGUCCCUGUCGCACAUCUUCCUCCUUCCUUUCUCCCUCUCGCGGCGCUCGAGAACGCCUUGCGUGCCCCCGCGGUCACCGCACCCCCCCACUACGGGUGAGCUUGAAGCACGCCGUCGGCGAUAUCGAAUCAUGUUGCCGGCGAGAUCCAAUCAUGCCGAUGUCACUUCCACCCCCCUCCCUGCUCCGCCUGACUCGUCACAUUGCUGGUCUCCUCAGGUCGUCGCUAUAAAAAAAAACUCCCCGCAGCAACCAUGCCUCCAUGGCGCCUCGCCGUCGCCGGUGCAGCCGCCUUGUUGCAUCGUCGAUGGAGGUUUCUGUCGUUCCAGCAAAAACCGAUGCGGGUCGUAGCAUUUUGCAACACUAGAUGUAGCUCAUACCACGCCUAUGCUCGCCCCUGCUCACCGAUGGUUCCAACAAAACACAGAUACCGUUGUAAUAAAAAAUACCGCUAGAUGCAGAUCCGCCGCAUGUCAUCACUUGCUAUAGCGUUAGUCGCCAUAUCUGUUGCAACAAAACGCUCCACUAGUUGAAGCUUUUUUGGUCGCGGGUUCCAGCUUUUUUCGGCGCAUGGUCACCACGGUCACCGCCCGUCGUAGCAUAAUUUUCUGCAGGUUGUAGCACUUUCGAUCACCGGUCAUAGCAUCUUUUGGUGCCGGUUGUAGCACCGCCAAAUCGCUGGGUACUAGGCGCCGGCAUGCCGGUUGUAGCAAAAUGCGAUGUCAGUUGAAGCAUGUAGCAAAAACUGCAACGUUGGUUUUUGGCUAGGAAUAGCACCGCUCCGUCCUCGUCGUCCAGCGGUCACCACGCUCGCCAUUCAUGGUCGCAGCCUCCCCGGACCGCCACCGCCGUCCCCACACCCUCCAUCGCCGGUCGAGGGUCGCAUCUUCUUCAAUGCCAACGGUGUCGCACCCCCGCGUCGCAAGGCGAGGUCAUUGCAGCUCCAGAGGCCGGCGGUUGCAGCAUCCACCGCCGCCGGGUCCAGCUUCCCCGUCGCCACCGGUCUCCUUCACUCCGUCACGCACCGAGGCGUCAGUGGGCCUUGUCGUUGCCACCGCUUGACUUGGAGAGAGAGAGAGAAAGAGAGAGAGAGAGAGAGAGAGAGAGAGAGAGAGAGAGAGAGAGAGAGAGACCAGGUGAUGGGGAACCAAGUGGGUCUGGGCGAAGAGAAAAAUAUGCAGGUCUCACGAGCCAGAGCAUCGCACAACGAAGUGACCGGCCGAAGAUUCGGCCGGCGUGUAAGCGCGAAGGGUUUUCCUUUUCCUUUCUUCCUUUUAUGUUUGGUUUUCUGUUCAUUUAUUGAUUUUUUUGCUUUAUUCCUUAUAUUUUCCCUUUUUUUCCCUUUUUCUUUUGCGAUUUUACCCAUUUCUAUGAAAAUGGUACUUCUCUUUGUAAAUACAUGCACAUUUAAAAAAAUAGAUGAACAAUUUUUAAUAUUACACAAAUUUUUGUUCGAAAGAGGUGAAAACUUUUUAAAAAUACACAAUUGUUUUUAAAAUAGAUGAUUACUUUGUUAUUAAUGACACGCUUACUUUUUAAGUUACAAGAUUCGUUUUUCAAAAUAUGUGAACAACCAAAAAAUGUAUGCAUUUUUUAGAGUGACCAAAUACUUUUUUUAAAAUUGCAUGAACAUCUUUUCAAAAUACUUGAUCGUUUUUAAAAAUUGCAAAAAUACUUUAGAGUAUACAAAUAUUUUCUAAAAUGCAUUAACCUUUUCCAAAACUACAAGAACAAUUUAAAAAUAUGAACACUUCGAAAUAUGCACAAACAAUUUUUAAAUUGUACAGAUAUUUUUUCAAAGAGUGAGCACAUUCUAGAUUUACAAAAUCUCUUUUUUUAAUUAGACGAAAACCUUUUGAAACUAAAAAAAUCUAUAUGUUUUCCUUAGUUAGCUGCUAAGUAUUUCAUGAGGUGCAAUUGUAUGAAACAUUUAUGUUUGGAUCAAUAAUACGUGAACUAAAACUACAAAAUACAAUGAUUUAUCAUUUCUUAUUCUUCAAUAAUUGCAUAUUUUUUAGCAAAUAUAUAGUUGUAAGGUAGUUAUUAACAUAAAAUGGCAUAAUAGAUUCUGAUGCAAGGUUGCAUAUUGAGGUAGGCAAUUUCCCUUGCAUGGUUACACCGUGAGGUGUGCAGAAGUGUUCCUCUAAUCCUGAGCCCAAAUGCUCCUGCCUUGAACAGUAAAAUCAAAAAAAUAGAAGGAAAAUAAACUCAAAAUAUUCUGAUUUUUUUUACAACAAACAUGGCUUAGUUUUCUGCAUGCGGACAAAGUAUUUUGAUGAAAUCACAAUCGUGGAGGUCUGAUAAAAAAACAAAAUCACCACUUCAAAUUCUUUCAAAAAAUGUUUUUUGGAGCAUCCAAUUUGUUCUUUUUGCCAAAGCAUUCGGAUUGUAUUUUCUACACUAAAUCUACGUAUGUAGAAAAUUCAAAAAGUUUUUGAAUUUUUUGCAGAUUUUUUAUAAUUUUUUACUACUCCCUCCGUUCCAUAAUAUAGUGCAUAUAGAUUUUCUAGAAAGUCAAACUUUAGAAACUUUGACUAAAUUUAUAAAGAAAACUAUUUAUAUUUGCAAUACCAAAUUUAUACAAUAUUAAAGUACGUCUUGUGAUGUAUCUAGUGAUCUGUGUUUGGUAUCCUAGAUGUAUAUGUUUUUCUAUACAAACUUGGUCACAUUUUAUAAAGUUUGACUCUUCAAAAAAUUUAUACGUACUGCAUUGUGGAACGGAAUGAGAUUUUUCUUUCACAAGGGUGCAUUUGAGCUCGAGUGCAUAAACUCCAUGUUUGUGAGGUGUGUCCUUUCUCAAACGUGGUUGCAUGUUGAGGCGACAUAUUUGCAUCUUCAGAUAAAUAUGUUAUUGGGAUCACCUAUGUAGUUAUAUAGGAUAUGUUCAUGGUUCAACCAAGAAAAUUUAACGAAAAACAAAUCUAUAAUUUCUGCCAUAGUUUCUAUGGUGGCCACAGCCGAAACCUUUUAUUUACAAGUACAAAAUCAUUCUAUUUUUUAAUCAUAAUUUAGGUGAAUACGUUUGUCUAAACAAAAGAUUUGGGGUUUAAACUCCAGAUUUUCUAUUUCACUUGUUUCUUUUUUGACGAUUACCUUUUGUUUCAUUUUGGGUUUUCCUUUCCUGUUUUCUUUUCUGAUUUAUAUUUAUAUUUUUGUUUUCUUUUAUUCUACUAUUUUAUUCUAUUUUUACAUUGCCUAUUUUUAAAUAAAUUAUGUGUUGUAAUUGAUUUCCCCUAAUUUAUGUUCACAUUACUUGUUUUCAGUAGUGAUUUUAAUUAUGUUUAUCUUCACAACAAGAAAGCUAAUUUUGACUUACAAAAACAUUAAUUUUGAUAGAAGUGAGCAUUCUUCUAUCAAAGGUGCAACGGAAUUCUAAAAUGUGUUCACAUUUUGUGGUAUAAAUAACCAUGUUUCCUCGGAGUUGUGUUCCCCUAAACCGUAAUCCCUGACCAUUCCAAAUAAUUACCUAAAUAAUUAGGAGUAUAUGGUAUUUGAGCCUUCGAAAUUUCAUAUUUCCACUUCCGGUAAAAUUGCCAUUUUCCACUUUUUUUUUACAAAAAGCAGCAGCUCCGCCUUGACAUAUAGCAGUUCCGUAAUGAUGACAAUACCGUAGCUUCGCAAAGAAGCAAGAAGUAGAAUUCUACAGAAAUACUCC